UAGGGAAUCUUCCGCAAUGGACGAAAGUCUGACGGAGCAACGCCGCGUGAACGAUGAAGGCCUUCGGGUCGUAAAGUUCUGUUGUUAGGGAAGAACAAGUAUCGGAGUAACUGCCGGUACCUUGACGGUACCUAACCAGAAAGCCACGGCUAACUACGUG
rnacentral:rRNA from 1 species